CAGCAGCACUUUGGUGUUAUUUACUUAUUUACUCAGCUCUAAGGCAACCUGAGAAGUGAGGCACUUUAAAUGCUCCUCAUUGCACACUUAUCUUUAUUCCAAUAAUUUUUUUUCUCCCAUUUUCUGACAGGAAGCAAGGAACAAAAUCGACUUCCCGGGUCAUGCAGCAAGGAACAAAAUCGGCUUCCUCGUCAUGCAGCUUGCAAUACUCGGUGCCAUAAACAACUCUACUUGCGCACUGGUCCAGGCAUGGAGUCCCACUGGCCGACCCCUCGUCCCGCUGGCCGACCCCUCGUCCCGCUGGCCGACCCCUCGUCCCGCUGGCCGACCCCUCGUCCCGCUGGCCGACCACUUCACCACUCGGCAAUGAGCAGACUGCCAUUCAACUUGUUACUUUGUUGUGAUUGAAUGUUUACUCUGCAAAAGAAAUAAAGCUUUAUUACAAAUAAU